UACGGAGGGUGCAAGCGUUAUCCGGAUUCACUGGGUUUAAAGGGUGCGCAGGCGGGAAAUUAAGUCAGUGGUGAAAGCCCCGAGCUCAACUUGGGAACUGCCAUUGAUACUGAUUUUCUUGAAUGUAGUUGAGGCUGGCGGAAUACAACAUGUAGCGGUGAAAUGCAUAGAUAUGUUGUAGAACACCAAUUGCGAAGGCAGCUAGCUAAACUAUUAUUGACGCUGAGGCACGAAAGCGUGGGGAGCGAACAGG
rnacentral:rRNA from 1 species